GUAUUAGUUAUGUACUUUAAACCCAAAGAAUUUGGCGGUAUUUUAGUCCUUUCAGAGGAAUCUGUCCCGUAAUCGAUAAUCCACGAGAUAUAUUACUUGUCUUUGUUUUCAGUUUGUAUACCUCCGUCAUAAGAGAAUCUUUUUAGAGUUAAAUUUCUUAAUACAUUUGGUGUAUCAUGUCAGGUCAAGGUGCAAUUUAUAGAUAAGUGGAGAUGGGUUACAAUAAAAUUAUUUAAACGGAAUGGAUUGUUUACUCUUUCUAUGAAGGUGGAUUUGAUAGUAAUUUUAAUUAUUUGUUAAUAUGAUUUUGGCUCUAAAAUAUGCACACAUCGCCCG
rnacentral:rRNA from 1 species